rnacentral:rRNA from 1 species
GGGUGAGUAACACGUGGAUAACCUACCUAUAAGACUGGGAUAACUUCGGGAAACCGGAGCUAAUACCGGAUAAUAUUUUGAACCGCAUGGUUCAAAAGUGAAAGACGGUCUUGCUGUCACUUAUAGAUGGAUCCGAGCUGCAUUAGCUAGUUGGUAAGGUAACGGCUUACCAAGGCAACGAUGCAUAGCCGACCUGAGAGGGUGAUCGGCCACACUGGAACUGAGACACGGUCCAG